AUUGAACGCUGGCGGCAGGCCUAACACAUGCAAGUCGAGCGGAUGAAGGGAGCUUGCUCCUGGAUUCAGCGGCGGACGGGUGAGUAAUGCCUAGGAAUCUGCCUGGUAGUGGGGGAUAACGUCCGGAAACGGGCGCUAAUACCGCAUACGUCCUGAGGGAGAAAGUGGGGGAUCUUCGGACCUCACGCUAUCAGAUGAGCCUAGGUCGGAUUAGCUAGUUGGUGGGGUAAAGGCCUACCAAGGCGACGAUCCGUAACUGGUCUGAGAGGAUGAUCGGUCACACUGGAACUGAGACACGGUCCAGACUCCUACGGGAGGCAGCAGUGGGGAAUAUUGGACAAUGGGCGAAAGCCUGAUCCAGCCAUGCCGCGUGUGUGAAGAAGGUCUUCGGAUUGUAAAGCACUUUAAGUUGGGAGGAAGGGCAGUAAGUUAAGACCUUGCUGUUUUGACGUUACCAACAGAAUAAGCACCGGCUAACUUCGU
rnacentral:rRNA from 1 species